GACGAACUGUCCUAACGUUGUUCGGAAUCACUGGGCUUAAAGGGCGCGUAGGCGGUCCGCCAAGUCAGGGGUGAAAUCCUGCAGCUUAACUGUAGAAGUGCCUCUGAUACUGGCGGUCUUGAGGGAGAUAGGGGUGUGCGGAACUUCCAGUGGAGCGGUGAAAUGCGUUGAUAUUGGAAGGAACGCCGGAGGCGAAAGCGGCGCACUGGAUUUCUUCUGACGCUGAGGCGCGAAAGCUAGGGGAGCAAACGGG
rnacentral:rRNA from 1 species